rnacentral:rRNA from 1 species
UACGUAGGGUGCGAGCGUUGUCCGGAAUUACUGGGCGUAAAGAGCUCGUAGGUGGUUUGUCGCGUUGUUCGUGAAAACUCACAGCUCAACUGUGGGCGUGCGGGCGAUACGGGCAGACUGGAGUACUGCAGGGGAGACUGGAAUUCCUGGUGUAGCGGUGAAAUGCGUAGAUAUCAGGAGGAACACCGGUGGCGAAGGCGGCUACCUGGACAGAAACUGACGCUGAGGCACGAAGGCCAGGGGAGCAAACGGG